GUCUGUGUAGUCCAAAUGGUUAACACACUCAGGUGCUAACUGAAAAGUUGGAGGUUCAAGUCCACCCAAAGACA
rnacentral:tRNA from 1 species